rnacentral:rRNA from 1 species
GCUGUCGUCAGCUCGUGUUGUGAAAUGUUGGGUUAAGUCCCGCAACGAGCGCAACCCUUAUCCUUUGUUGCCAGCGGUCCGGCCGGGAACUCAAAGGAGACUGCCAGUGAUAAACUGGAGGAAGGUGGGGAGGACGUCAAGUCAUCAUGGCCCUUACGAGUAGGGCUACACACGUGCUACAAUGGCGCAUACAAAGAGAAGCGACCUCGCGAGAGCAAGCGGACCUCAUAAAGUGCGUCGUAGUCCGGAUUGGAGUCUGCAACUCGACUCCAUGAAGUCGGAAU